AGGGAAUCUUCCGCAAUGGACGAAAGUCUGACGGAGCAACGCCGCGUGAGUGAUGAAGGUUUUCGGAUCGUAAAGCUCUGUUGCCAGGGAAGAACGUCCGUUAGAGUAACUGCUAACGGAGUGACGGUACCUGAGAAGAAAGCCCCGGCUAACUACGUGCCAGCAGCCGCGGUAAUACGUAGGGGGCGAGCGUUGUCCGGAAUUAUUGGGCGUAAAGCGCGCGCAGGCGGCUGUUUAAGUCUGGUGUUUAAUCCUGGGGCUCAACCCCGGGUCGCACUGGAAACUGGACAGCUUGAGUGCAGAAGAGGAGAGUGGAAUUCCACGUGUAGCGGUGAAAUGCGUAGAGAUGUGGAGGAACACCAGUGGCGAAGGCGACUCUCUGGGCUGUAACUGACGCUGAGGCGCGAAAGCGUGGGGAGCAAAC
rnacentral:rRNA from 1 species